GAUGAACGCUGGCGGCGUGCCUAAUACAUGCAAGUCGAGCGAACAGACGAGGAGCUUGCUCCUCUGACGUUAGCGGCGGACGGGUGAGUAACACGUGGAUAACCUACCUAUAAGACUGGGAUAACUUCGGGAAACCGGAGCUAAUACCGGAUAAUAUAUCGAACCGCAUGGUUCAAUAGUGAAAGACGGUUUUGCUGUCACUUAUAGAUGGAUCCGCGCCGCAUUAGCUAGUUGGUAAGGUAACGGCUUACCAAGGCGACGAUGCGUAGCCGACCUGAGAGGGUGUUCGGCCACACUGGAACUGAGACACGGUCCAGACUCCUACGGGAGGCAGCAGUAGGGAAUCUUCCGCAAUGGGCGAAAGCUUGACGGAGCAACGCCGCGUGAGUGAUGAAGGUCUUCGGAUCGUAAAACUCUGUUAUUAGGGAAGAACAAAUGUGUAAGUAACUAUGCACGUCUUGACGGUACCUAAUCAGAAAGCCACGGCUAACUACGUG
rnacentral:rRNA from 1 species